rnacentral:lncRNA from 1 species
AGAGGGCGCCAAAGGCGACGCGCUGGCGGCCAGCUCCAAGCCAACCAGGCCCAUUGCGUCCGUCUGCAGGAACCUGUCUCUUCACCCUGCUUUGGACACUGAGCUUCGGAGGAUCUGGCUGCGAGCUGAUUCAACGCCAGGGCGCCGCCUAGAGGUCGGUCGCGUCCUCGGUCUCGCUCACCCACCACAGAGCUGCUUGUCCAAGCCACAGUGUCAGACUUAAACAAAACAAAACAAAAUUCCUGCUUGGAUCAGAGACUUGGCUUCUGGGACCGUUGACUUAUCAGAAACUUGCCUCCUCUCUGCUUCAUAACGAACCCCAGGAAGAGAGAGGGACCAGGAUUCUCAAAGAAAUAUUUGUCCUUGUGGCACCGACUAGGUGGAAGAAAAGUCUCAACAUGACAAGAGGGGAUAUAAAUUGUUUGAAGUUCAUCAGCACGGUGAAGUUUUAUUGUAUUUCCGGUCCCUAAAAGAGAAGCCGGCAGCCAGGCAGACUCCCUCCUUAUCUCCGAGUUUCCACGCUAGGGACACACACGUGGCCAAGCGGACACUUGCCUUCGGGAGCAGGGAGGGAGGGAGCCGGCUCCGACCGACUCUCCCUCACUGGCUCAGUUCUACUUGGCUCCACUCUCCUGUCUACUCCCCUGUCUCAAGGCUGGGGUUGCCUUAGAGUUGGAUAUCUGAGAGCUGCCUGGGAGUCUGGGUAACCCUGGAGCCCAGGGACUGGCCAGAUGGUGAGUGUGUGCGAAUCUUCCUA